rnacentral:lncRNA from 1 species
UCAAGCAUCCACCAUUGUGAGAUUGAUUCGUUAAUUAAUCCAAAAAGUGUCGUUCCCCCACUCGCUUUUAAAUUGUAUAUUUAUUUUUUAAAAUGCAUGGAUAUUAUUUUAAAAGGUGUGAACACUUUUUAAAUCACAUGCACUUAAAAAAAUGCUUGAAUACUUUCAAAAUCAUGAUUGAAUUCACUUCCUGGCAGGUUUGAUCCACAAAAUAUCCGAAUUCCACUUGUGAGUAAAUAAAAAAAGUUGUCCCUACCACAAGAAUAGGUCCAACAUCGAUGCACUUCUUUUUCACUUUCCUAAUAAAAAGCAACAAAUACUCGCUAUUUCAGUUUAACAAUAAUAGUAACCUAUGUCAAAUGCUCACAAUUUAGGAAAAAGUUUGCAUAUUUGUCUUAUUAGAAUAAAUGAACCUUCAAAAUUAAGUAGUGGCCUAAAAACUGAUAUAUGUUUUAUGCUUCUUGAGCUAGUGAGUUGUGAACUUUCAUCCAUUGUCUAAUUUCUGGGCACAUUACGGAGUGACUUUGCUUCAGUUAAAAGCAUGCGCUAGUUUGCUUGAUGGCCGUGCAUUCACGAGUUGGAGGAUUAGGUUGGUUGGCCAACAUUUGUGAAGAAAUAAAACGACCCACUUUAGUGAGGAAAAUCAGACACAAAAGGCAACCAAGGAAAAUAAAACAAACUCAUGUUGUGCACAUGGAUUAAGAGUCAUAAAUUCGAGUAGAUCAUCAGGAUACCAAAGUCGAAGGCAGUAAGUACGCAGAGAGUAACUUGCGGCUGUAGUUGACCAUUUGCCUCUUGCAGCAGGUGGCCUCGGCCUCUCCAACUCCAAAUGCAGCAUUGGCACCAAUACACUGAAAGAUAAGAGGGACAAAUGCAGAUAUGCAUGCAUUAUGUGAUUCUAAAUUAAGGGCAACCUGGUGCAUGUAGCUCCCGCUUGCGCAGGGUCCAGGGAAGGGUCCGACCACUUUGAGUCUAUAGUAAUUGAUGAGGAAAAAUAUAAGUGCCCUUGCAAUUUCGGUUGGAGGCAUUGUGUUCAAAGUACAGAGCAAAGGAACAUUAUACAGUGUACAAAUGUUGAUACCUCUGAGUGAUCAACAACUGCAGCCUGCAGGCAUUAACAUCAGAUUCCAUUGAAUCUUCAGAGGAUUGGCCACAUUUGGAGCUCAUCUGCAAGGCCAACAUGGCCGCGUCGGAGCUCCGUCCAAGCUUAUGGGGCGCAGACACGGGGCGCCAACCCUGCCGCACACAACCAGACUCUUCACAUGUGCUCUAGAUUGGAAGGAUGGAUAGGGGAGAGGCGGCCCUCAGGCACGGCCGGACACUUGAAGUGGAGGAGGAGGAUCACAGGAUGAUAAGGGAGAAGCAGCCCGUAGCCAUGGUUGGGAACCUGUCACAACCUAGGGAUCGAACGGGUUCGUCGCCGGCAAGUGGAAGAGGGGCUCAGGUAAGGGAGAAUUUGAAUUCGCCGGAGAGGAGGAAGAGACAGCGAGGAAGGGAAGAGAAGAGCCAGUGGCUCGGAUAAUGAUCUAUUUCAUUUUCGAUGCCUUUCCAACACGCUACCUGGCUGGUUUAUAUCCACCAGUCCAGCUCUCUCAUUACAAGGCCCAUGGCCCAAACUAUUACAAGGCCUAAAGCCCAAAUUCCUCUCCACUCAUUUAAACUCUCCCGCGCCUUGGUUACGCCUUCUUCAUCACCUGUUUGCGCCUUCUCCCUUGGUUGACGUCCAUCGUAAGCACUGCAGUACUUACAGUACCCGCCCCUGAAGAACCAGCUUGUCCCCAAGCUGGUGCCGCUGGAUAACGCGCCUUGAGCACGUCAUAAUCUUCCCAGGUGGCUGACGACGGUGGUAUUGUAGCCCAUUUUAUCAACACUUGCAAGUGAGAGUUGUUCCCUUUUUUCACCAGUCGCCGAUCGAGCACUGCUUCUGGAAUUAUACCCGGUAGAGACAGAUCCAACGGCUUGGGCAAAUUGACGAAGAUGGGGGUACGAUCAGGAACAUGCCCUUUGAGAUGGGAUACAUGAAAAACUGGGUGUACCUGACAGCCUCUGGGUAACUCAAGUCGAUAAGCUGCUUCUCCAAUUUUGUCCAGCACUUUGUAUGGCCCAAAAUACUUGAGUGCAAGUUUGGGACACGGCUUGUUGACCACUGUAGACUGCGUAUAUGGCUGGAGACGCAAAUAAACCAUCUCCCCAACAGCAAACACACGCUCUGAUCUUUUCCUAUCAGCGAACUGUUUGUACUUGCACUGAGCGCGAGCCAAAUGGUCUCUCAAUGCUGCAGUAUGAUGCUGAUGUUCAGUCAACCAGGUUUGCACAUCUUUAUUGAGCGACGAGCUGUGUCCCAACAACUGUCCAAUGUUCUGAUCAUGGCCAUAUAGAGCUUUGUAAGGAGUACAGCCCAGGGAAGAAUGGUACGUUGUGUUGUACCAAAACUCAGCUUGAGAUAACCAAGUGGACCACUUAGCAGGAAACUCAUUCACAGCACAGCGUAAAUACAUUUCCAGGCACUGAUUAACACGCUCUGUCUGCCCAUCCGUUUGGGGAUGAUAAGUUGUGCUCAUGUGCAAUUCUGUACCCCAUACUCUGAACAGCUCUUUCCAAAAGGCACUCAUGAAUAUCUUAUCUCUGUCUGAUAUAAUAACCAGUGGUAACCCAUGCAGCUUGACAAUGGUAUUGAGAAAGACUCUGGCAACAGAAGUAGCAGUGAAUGGAUGUUUCAAGGGAAGAAAAUGACUCACUUUGGUCAGUCGAUCCACCACAACCAAAAUUGCAUUAUAUCCAUCAGAUUUGGGUAAUCCUUCAAUAAAGUCCAUACUAAUUGAUUGCCAAGGACUGUCAGGUAUAGGAAGUGGUUGCAACAUACCAGGGCUUUUACACAGUUCAUGCUUAGCUUGCUGACACACACUGCAUUGCUUGACAAAACUUUCCACAUCUGCUUUCAUACCUUGCCAGCUAAACAACUGUUUUACUUUGUGAUAAGUUGGUAAGAUACCAGAGUGACCACCUUUGGGACUAGAGUGGAAGGCCUGUAUUAACUUGGUCUGCAAGCCUGUAUUUGCUCCCACCCAGAUUUUCCCUUCUUGCUUGAUGAGGCCUUCCUGUAACUGAAAACCAGGACAAGCCUUGUUGUCCACUGCUAACUUUUGUAGCAUAAGUUGAGCAUUAGGGUCUACAGUAUAUGAAUUGAGGAUUUCCUGAAUCCACACAGGUUUGCUGGUGGAUACUGCCUAUGCAACAAAAAGAUGAGCCACCCUCGACAAAGCAUCUGCUACAGUAUUUUCCGCCCCUUUUUUGUAUUAUAUGCUGAACUGAAGCCCCACCAACUUUGUCAUUGCUUUUCUCUGAAGAUAUGAGGUCAUAUUUUGGUCCCCCAAAUGACAUAAGCUCUGAUGAUCCGUUUUGAUAACAAACGGUGCUCUAGACAGAUAUGAUCUCCACCUAUCCACUGCCAUCAUAAUAGCUAGGAACUCUUUUUCAUAGAUUGAAGAUUUUUGACUGGCCACUCCCAAUGCUUUACUGUAAUAAGCCACAGGGUGACCCUCCUGAGUAAGUACAGCUCCCACUCCAGUGUUGCAAGCAUCUGUCUCUAAUGUAAAUGUCUUGUUGAAAUCAGGAAGGGUAAGUACUGGAGUAGUUGCCAUAGCUCUCUUCAACAUUUGGAAAGCCUGCUGAGCAGAUUCAGACCACACAAAAGCUUGUUUCUUCAGCAAAGCAGUCAGGGGUUUGGCAAGCAGACCAUAGUGCUGAACAAAUUUUCUGUAAUAACCUGUUAAUCCCAAAAAUCCCCUCAAUUCAGUGACUGAUAUGGGAACAAGCCAAUUCACCAUAGCUUCUGUUUUAGCUGGGUCAGUGGCCACUCCUUGAUCAGAAAUAAUGUGACCCAGAUAUUCCAUAGAUUGUUGUGCAAAAGCACACUUACUUUCCUUCACGUAGAACUGGUGCUCUUUCAGAAGAUCAAACACAGUUUGUAACUGCUCUAAAUGUUCCUGAAAAGUCUGACUGAACGCCAGAAUAUCAUCCAUAAACACCAAGACAAACUUCCCGUUUGGUCCUGCAAACACAAAGUUCAUUACACAUUGAAAUGUGCCAGGAGCAGUGGCCAAUCCAAAUGGAACAACUUUGAACUGAAACUGGCCAUGGUGAGUUUUAAAUGCAGCUUUGUGCUCAUCUUCCUCUUUCAUCCUGAUCUGGUGAUACCCAGCUCUAAGGUCUAACUUGGAAAACCACUUGGAGCCUCCUAAUUCAUCCAAUAACUCAUCAAUCACAGGCAAUGGAAAUUUACUUUUGAUUGUCAGGUCAUUCAACCUUCUAUAAUCCACACAGAAUCUCCAAGUUCCAUCUUUCUUAUUCACCAGCAAAACAGGAGAAGCAAAAGGACUUAUACUGGGAGUCUCUCCCCUGCUUGUAACAUUUCAGAGACCUACCUCUCUAUUUCAUCUUUUUGCAGAGGAGAGUACCUGUAUGGUCUACAGUUUACUAGUACAGCAUCAGGUUUCAAAUGGAUUGCAUGGUCCAGGGCUCUGUGAGGAGGAAGUGUCUUUGGUUCUUGAAAUACUUCUUUGUUUCUAUCCAAGAUCUGUUGCACUGCAGGAGGAAUUUCUACAGCAGGUUCCAUAACAAUGCGGUUCAGAAGUGUUGUUGCCCACACAUCAUUCCCCUUUUCCCAUUUCAUUAAUUGCUCAACUGAUAUUUCCUCAAUAUGGUCUUGCUAUCCUGGCAACACUCCUUGUAGCCUGACCUCUUGUCCUUCAUAUUGGAAUUGUAUCCACUUCGCUGCCUAGUGACACUGCAUAACACCCCAUUGCUCAAGCCAAUCUAUACCCAGAAUAAUGUCAUGACCACCCAGGGGAAAAACAUGCAUAGGACUGGUGAAACUAUGCCCUUGCAACCACCAGGUUAAUUGAGGGACACAUUCAGUGCACCUAACCAGAUUUCCAUUAGCCACUCUGACUUGCAUUGGCACAGGUAACUUUGCUGUAGUCACAGAAAUUCUGCUCAACAGAGCCUGAUCCACAAAUGAGUGAGUAUUGCCUGAAUCUACUAGAAUGAGAAUAGCCUAAUUUCCAACCAAUGCCCUCAACUGAAUUGUUCCGGGGUGAGGUGCUCCUGACAAUGCUGUUGCUGAUAAAGCUGCACAUUCCUCAUGACCAUUUGUCACAAGAGCAUCAAACACUGCAUCAGAGAUAAUCUCAUGAGGAUCCACCAUUUCUGCAGCCUUGAGUUGACCUGCUGGAACAGUGGGUUGGUUACACGUGUGACCUGGCAUGAAUUUCUCUCCACACUUAUAACAUAACCCAUUAGCACGUCUGUACUCCUUGAGCUAUUUUGCUUUCCACAAGUCACCUGUGGCCAGCUAAGGUUUACUGUCAGUCUUUGUGUAUGAACUCUUGGAGAAAGGUGGCUUAGGAGUUUUUUGUUGCAGCAAUAAUCCUUCCUGAACUGAGGCAUACAGGGCAGCCAUUUGUACUGUAGAAGGUAUCUGAACUUCUACCCCAGCUCGAAGUUCGUCCUUCAGUCCCAUCACAAAUCGAGUGAUCAGAAAUGUGUCGCUGAUUGUCGGCUCAUACAACCUGACCGUAUACACCAAGUGCAUGAACUGGUGCUUAUAUUCUUCGACAGUACCAGUCUGCUUGAGUAGCAUCAGCUCCUUCAUCUUCUGACGGUAAACGUCCACAUCAAAUUCCUUCAUAAUGGCCUCACAAAAUUGUUCCCAAGUAUGGAAUGCCGCAGUCUGCUUGAACGCUUGGUACCAAUGUGCAGCAUUAUCCGUCAGGUACAGAGAAGCAGAAGUAACCUUGAAAUUUUCAGGUAUGUGAUAUAACUGGAAGAAAGCCUCGCAUCUAUCCAACCAAAUCCGCACAUCAGAACCAUCGAACCUCGAAAAAUCCAUCUUAGGCAUCCACUGGCGUUUGUUACCACUCUCCUCGACCGCGAACGACAUCGGCAACUGAACAACAGGCAAUGUAACCGGUACCUGAAGUGGUGGUGGAGGUGGUGGUGGUGGCUGCCUAUACCGCGGUCCUGUGCCCAGAAUCCCAUCCGAGACCUCCAAUGCUGUGGGUGAAGAGCUCUCGCCUUGCCCUGUGGUCUUGUCUCCUCUCGCCGCAUGAAGCUGUCCCUGCUGCACUUGCCCCAACGUGUCGCAGGACAGAUCCACCUUGACAUGCACUUGAUCCAGGCGCGCCGCUUGCUCCGUGAGCUUCACAUCCAGCGAUGCCAGCUUCGCGCAAAUGUCAUCCACAACCGCCAACUUGCUCUGGUUUUAGCGAAGCACGGCGAAUUCCUUGAGCAUCCGCUCCUAGAGCGCCUCCAUCUCGUCCGUCAGGAACCUAGUCUACGGAUUAGGCUUGAAUGUCGUCGUGGCUGCAAUUUCCCCCAAAUCAGCCCACCUCAGGUCCGGAAUUACUCAGAUCAAGCCCGAGAGCGAUAUGAAACCUUCGCGUCGGAUUUGCUGGGUACGAAGUGGGGAAAUUUUUUUGGGCGCGUGGACGGAAGCGGUGGCUCUGAUACCAUACUGUCACGACCUAGGGAUCGGACGGGUUCGUCGCCAGCGAGUGGAAGAGGGGCUCAGGUAAGGGAGAAUUUGAAUUCGCCGGAGAGGAGGAAGAGACAGCGAGGAAGGGAAGAGAAGAGCCAGUGGCUCG